rnacentral:rRNA from 1 species
UGAGUUUGAUCAUGGCUCAGGAUGAACGCUGGCGGCGUGCCUAAUACAUGCAAGUCGAACGGACCACUUCGGUGGUUAGUGGCGAACGGGUGAGUAACACGUGGGUAACCUACCUAUAAGUUGAGGAUAACAGUUGGAAACGACUGCUAAUACUGAAUAGUAGUAGAUAAGGCAUCUUAACUACUUUAAAGAUUAAUCGCUUAUAGAGGGGCCCGCGGCGCAUUAGUUAGUUGGUGGGGUAAAAGCCUACCAAGACGAUGAUGCGUAGCCGGACUGAGAGGUUGACCGGCCACAUUGGGACUGAGACACGGCCCAAACUCCUACGGGAGGCAGCAGUAGGGAAUUUUCGGCAAUGGAGGAAACUCUGACCGAGCAACGCCACGUGAAUGAAGAAGUACUUCGGUAUGUAAAGUUCUUUUAUGAGGGAAGAAGCAAGUGACGGUACCUCAUGAAUAAGCCCCGGCUAACUAUGUGCCAGCAGCCGCGGUAAUACAUAGGGGGCGAGCGUUAUCCGGAAUUAUUGGGCGUAAAGGGUGCGUAGGCGGUUAUUUAAGUUUAGGGUGUAAGUGCAGUGCUUAACGCUGUGAGGCUCUAAAAACUGGGUAACUAGAGACAGAUAGAGGCAAGUGGAAUUCCAUGUGUAGCGGUAAAAUGCGUAAAUAUAUGGAGGAACACCAGUGGCGAAGGCGGCUUGCUGGGUCUUGUCUGACGCUGAUGCACGAAAGCGUGGGGAUCAAACAGGAUUAGAUACCCUGGUAGUCCCCCCCGUAAACCAAGAAUACUAGGUGUUGGGGUAAACUCAGUGCGGUAGUUAACGCAAUAAGUAAUCGGCCUGAGUAGUACGUGCGCAAGCAUGAAACUCAAAGGAAUUGACGGGCUCCCGCACAAGCGGUGGAUCAUGUUGUUUAAUUCGAGGAUACGCGAAGAACCUUACCAGGUCUUGACAUACUCUGCGAAGUCUUGGAAACAAGUACGGAGGUUAACAGAUGUACAGGUGGUGCAUGGUUGUCGUCAGCUCGUGUCGUGAGAUGUUGGGUUAAGUCCCGCAACGAGCGCAACCCCUAUUGCUAGUUACCAUCAUUAAGUUGGGGACUCUAGCGAGACUGCCAGUGAUAAACUGGAGGAAGGUGGGGAUGACGUCAAAUCAUCAUGCCCCUUAUGACCUGGGCUACAAACGUGAUACAAUGGCUGUUACAGAGGGUGGCGAAGCAGUGAUGUGGAGCAAAUCCUAAAAAAGCAGUCUCAGUUCGGAUUGAAGUCUGCAACUCGACUUCAUGAAGCCGGAAUCGCUAGUAAUCGCGAGUCAGCAUAUCGCGGUGAAUACGUUCUCGGGGGUUGUACACACCGCCCGUCAAACCACGAAAGUCAGCAAUACCCAAAGCAGGUGGCCUAACCGUAAGGAGGGAGCCUUCUAAGGUAGGGUUGAUGAUUGGGGUUAAGUCGUAACAAGGUAUCA